rnacentral:rRNA from 1 species
UGGGGAAUUUUGGACAAUGGGGGCAACCCUGAUCCAGCAAUGCCGCGUGAGUGAAGAAGGCCUUCGGGUUGUAAAGCUCUUUUGUCAGGAACGAAACGGUGAGGCCUAAUACGCCUUACUAAUGACGGUACCUGAAGAAUAAGCACCGGCUAACUACGUGCCAGCAGCCGCGGUAAUACGUAGGGUGCAAGCGUUAAUCGGAAUUACUGGGCGUAAAGCGUGCGCAGGCGGUUGUGCAAGACAGAUGUGAAAUCCCCGGGCUCAACCUGGGAAUUGCAUUUGUGACUGCACGGCUAGAGUGUGUCAGAGGGGGGUAGAAUUCCACGUGUAGCAGUGAAAUGCGUGGAUAUGUGGAGGAAUACCGAUGGCGAAGGCAGCCCCCUGGGAUAACACUGACGCUCAUGCACGAAAGCGUGGGGAGCAAACAGGAUUAGAUACCCUGGUAGUCCACGCCCUAAACGAUGUCUACUAGUUGUCGGGUCUUAAUUGACUUGGUAACGCAGCUAACGCGUGAAGUAGACCGCCUGGGGAGUACGGUCGCAAGAUUAA